rnacentral:rRNA from 1 species
CGCCUGUUUAUCAAAAACAUGGCUCCCUGAAGCAAUAUGGGGGGUCGGUGCCUUCCCCGGUGAGCUUGCGGGGCUUAAACGGACGCGGUAAAGCGUGCUAAGGUAGCCUAAAUUAUGGGCUAUUAAUUGUAGGUCCUGUGAAUGGUUUGACGAGUUUCCAACUGUCUCUAGUUUUUUUUGGUGAACUUGAAUUGGAUGUGCAAAUGCUUCCAUGGGUAAGAAAGACGAGAAGACCCCGUGAAGUUAGAAAUUUUAAGUUAUUGGGAAGUUCCAAGGCUAUUUGUGGCCGAAUCGUUGAGGAGCACUAGAACUUAGUGUUUCAGAAGGGGUGAAUAAUAGCAGUUUUGAUUGGGGCAGCAAAGGAGCAAAGCUAGACUCCUUUAGGGUGUAAAACAGAUGUGUUACGACCCACAAACAUUAAGGUGUGAUUAUCAGAAGAAGUUACUCCGGGGAUAACAGCGUAAUCUGUCUUGAUAGUUCUUAUAGAUGGGCGGGUUUGCGACCUCGAUGUUGGCUCUGGAUAUCCUAAGGCUUGUAGGCGGUCUUGAGGGUUGGUUCGUUCUAGCCAUAAAAAUCUGACGUGAUCUGAGUUCAGACCGG